rnacentral:rRNA from 1 species
GACGAGCGCUGGCGGCGUGCUUAACACAUGCAAGUCGAACGGAAAGGCCCUGCUUUUGUGGGGUGCUCGAGUGGCGAACGGGUGAGUAACACGUGAGUAACCUGCCCUUGACUUUGGGAUAACUUCAGGAAACUGGGGCUAAUACCGGAUAGGAGCUCCUGCUGCAUGGUGGGGGUUGGAAAGUUUCGGCGGUUGGGGAUGGACUCGCGGCUUAUCAGCUUGUUGGUGGGGUAGUGGCUUGCCAAGGCUUUGACGGGUAGCCGGCCUGAGAGGGUGACCGGCCACAUUGGGACUGAGAUACGGCCCAGACUCCUACGGGAGGCAGCAGUGGGGAAUAUUGCACAAUGGGCGGAAGCCUGAUGCAGCAACGCCGCGUGCGGGAUGACGGCCUUCGGGCUGUAAACCGCUUUCGCCUGUGACGAAGCGUGAGUGACGGUAAUGGGUAAAGAAGCACCGGCUAACUACGUG